GUCCUAGGUAAUGGUUAUAAACGUUCCAAUUUGUCAUUUGUGUUUUCUCUGCGAAGUAAAGAAAAUCUUGCUCCAUUCAUUGCAAACGUGAAACCUGCAGGCUACGAACAAUAUGCUAUUUAUUGUGACCCUAAUCAUGGUCCGUCCUUUGGGGGUGGUCCCGAUGUGAAUAUCAGUAAUAACGCUAAUGGUAAUCAAGAAUCUUACAGCUGUUUUGGUAAUUCAUAUCAACCACCUCCUGGCACGGCACAAGCUGAUUCUCUUUUAGCUGGUAGUCGUACUUUCACACCAACUGAAAUAGAGGUAUUUAUUUGAACUGCAGUUAUUGUCCUUCUAUCCAGAAUGAUAUGGCACGCAUGUAUAUGGUCUCUUGAGAAGGAUGAGAUCCUCAAGUGUCUAUGUUGUAUCCUCUAGUGGAUAUUUUUUUUUGUCGGCGGUUCUGAGGUUUAUUGUAAAUAUUCCCAAUAGGUGAUUCGAGCUUUUAGUUUAUGCGUGCUGGGGGAUGGGAAGUAAGGUAUCAUUUAAAAUAAAAAUGGCGGCCGUGCAAACCCGGAGUGAUAGCUUAUACUUGUAAACAUUGACAGUUUCUGCAAUUUUUAUUGAAAAUUUUCAGCACAAUCAGCAAUAUGAUACCUUACUUCCCGUCACCCCUUGCGCGCAUAAAUCAAAAGCUGGAAUUCCCUAAUACGUUUCUAAAUUUUGAAUAUUAAGCAAAUGUAGUUUCGCAUUUCGCUUACUUAAUUAUACAAGUUACUAUAUGUUGAGUACUUGGGUAGUUUAGCUCAGUACUACGGUGCUUUAGCAAGUACUUUUGUAGUUGGCUUUCCAAGUUCCCCGUCCAAUAUUACGUAUUUAUAGAAACAUAAUUGGGAAUAUUCCAGUGAAAUGAAUAUAACUGGAAUAUAACUGAAAUGAAUAUAGCCGAAUCUGACCAGCAGACUCGUGUGCUCGGUGGUCAAGACCCACGUGUUUAUGCUUCGCGACUUUCUUGCGAGACCGAUUCAGGGAGCGAGCAUACCGUUUUAAUGAGAGAAAAAAAAUAAAAGUAAUAUCUACUAGGAGGUUUUAACUGAAUAAAUGGAUUACUAUAGAAAGUUUUCAGCCCUGUUAAAAACCUUUUUGUAAAUUUUAAGCCGGUUUUCAAGAAUACGUUGACGGAUUGACCGUCGCAUACCUCCAAACGUUAGAAGUUUGGCUUUAAAUUUCCGGUUGUAGGUAUAGUGUUCCAGUUAUAUUCAUUUCACUGGAAUAUUCACACCAUACGUGGGAACCGUGCCUUGAGAAGUGGUCUGAAAUCGAUAAUAAUCAUCCACGAUAUUAAACAGACCAGCCAUCCCGGCAACCCAUGCUACAAUCAACGACAAGAUUCAUUUGGAAACACAAUUCCGCACAUGUUGCUUCUAAUAAUGAUAUGCACGUGUUAUUCAAUGACAAAUAUGAUUCACUAUUAGUUUGGAGAAUGUACGGGUAUUUAUGAAACGAAACUCCAUUGGGCGCCUGCAGUAUAUUUAUAAGCAACCAUGCAUGUCUAAAUCAUUUUGGCGAUAAUGAAGCUAAACGUAGCUCGUCUUGCCAGGUCUGUUUAGAUGCCAUUUGCUUUACAAAGGCC